GUGAGUAACACGUGGGUAACCUGCCCAUCAGAAGGGGAUAACACUUGGAAACAGGUGCUAAUACCGUAUAACAAUCAAAACCGCAUGGUUUUGAUUUGAAAGGCGCUUUCGGGUGUCGCUGAUGGAUGGACCCGCGGUGCAUUAGCUAGUUGGUGAGGUAACGGCUCACCAAGGCCACGAUGCAUAGCCGACCUGAGAGGGUGAUCGGCCACAUUGGGACUGAGACACGGCCCAAACUCCUACGGGAGGCAGCAGUAGGGAAUCUUCGGCAAUGGACGAAAGUCUGACCGAGCAACGCCGCGUGAGUGAAGAAGGUUUUCGGAUCGUAAAACUCUGUUGUUAGAGAAGAACAAGGAUGAGAGUAACUGUUCAUCCCUUGACGGUAUCUAACCAGAAAGCCACGGCUAACUACGUGCCAGCAGCCGCGGUAAUACGUAGGUGGCAAGCGUUGUCCGGAUUUAUUGGGCGUAAAGCGAGCGCAGGCGGUUUCUUAAGUCUGAUGUGAAAGCCCCCGGCUCAACCGGGGAGGGUCAUUGGAAACUGGGAGACUUGAGUGCAGAAGAGGAGAGUGGAAUUCCAUGUGUAGCGGUGAAAUGCGUAGAUAUAUGGAGGAACACCAGUGGCGAAGGCGGCUCUCUGGUCUGUAACUGACGCUGANGCUCGAAAGCGUGGGGAGCAAACAGGAUUAGAUACCCUGGUAGUCCACGCCGUAAACGAUGAGUGCUAAGUGUUGGAGGGUUUCCGCCCUUCAGUGCUGCAGCUAACGCAUUAAGCACUCCGCCUGGGGAGUACGACCGCA
rnacentral:rRNA from 1 species